rnacentral:rRNA from 1 species
CCCUUAGAUGUUCUGGGCUGCACACGUGCUACACUGGCAGGUUCAGCGAGCUUCAUGCCCUGAUCUGAAAGGAAUGGGAAAUCUUUUCAAAACCUGCCGUGCUUGGGAUAGAUGUUUGCAAUUAUUCAUCUUCAACGAGGAUUGCCUUGUAAGCGCACGUCAUCAGCGUGCAUUGAAUACGACCCUGUAUUCUGUACACACCGCCCGUCGCUCCUACCGAUUGAAGUUUUCGGUGAGUUGACAGGAUGAUUUUUUUGAAACUGGUUCGCCAGUGGAUUUUAGAUCCAAAUGCCAACGAAUCGAUGGCUUUAGAGGAAGGAGAAGUCGUAACA